rnacentral:rRNA from 1 species
UACGUAGGGCGCAAGCGUUGUCCGGAAUUAUUGGGCGUAAAGAGCUCGUAGGUGGUUUGUCGCGUCUGUUGUGAAAGCCCGGGGCUUAACUCCGGGUUUGCAGUGGAUACGGGCAGGCUAGAGGCAGGUAGGGGGAGAACGGAAUUCCCGGUGUAGCGGUGAAAUGACGCAGAUAUCGGGAGGAACACCGGUGGCGAAGGCGGUUCUCUGGGCCUGUACUGACGCUGAGGAGCGAAAGCGUGGGGAGCGAACAGG